rfam:Punica granatum cultivar Dabenzi scaffold525, whole genome shotgun sequence.
UGGGGCACAGUGAGGAACAAUCAGAAAUGUCUUUGAGGGCAGAAGAAGCUCCGUGAGACCAAAGAUUUCAGUUCAAGUCCUUUUCAUUCUGAGUGCCCC